UCCAGAUGAUAUUGACCUCCUUCAGACAAACAGCCACGUUGACAGACCAGAGCAGACAAGAUGAAGAUCGUCCUCCCAGUCGCUGUCAUGUUCACUCUCGCCCUGGUUCUGAUCCUGGGUAGAGUAGAAGCUAAAAAUCCUCAACCAUGUCAGAGAAACCCUGACAACAAAGCAUACAAAAAAUUUGUUCGCAAACACAUUCUUCAGGAGUCAUUUAACACUGGAUCAAAGAGGGCAUGGGAAAGGUACUUGAGAAAGUAUCGACUCUGCAACAGACCACAUCAGUCCAUCAUGAGGAAAGCGGAUCAGAGGCUUGUGCAACAGACCUGUAACGGUUAUGGCAAGCGUUUGUAUGAUAACUUAUGCACCAGUACCUCAAACAUGUUGGUGUAUGAUCUCAGAGUUAACACCGCCACUUGCAAAGUUAGAAUUCUACAGCGAGUAAGCAGAUAUGUGGUUUUGGCCUGUGACAAAGUUGCCAACCGCUGCCUUCCUGUUCAUUUUCAAACAAGUGUCAAUCGACCACCAAGCGGCGGUGCUAUAUGUCACCCUUAGCUCUGUAAAGCUAAGUCAUUACUUUGUGCUUUCAAAAUAAAAUCCUAUAAAACAUAUAAAAUGCCGUUUUGAAGUUUUGCCACAAGAAAUUUUUUUGUUUCACAUCUUUCAAACUGGUCCAGUAACAUUCAGCCAAGGGACCAUAACGAAUCAACCUUGUGUGUCAACCUUAGCUCUGUAAAGCUUAGCUAAGUCAUUACCUCCUGCUUACAAAAGAAAACCCAGUAAAACAUAUAUAAUGAAAUGCUGUUUUGUAGUUUGGUAACAUGAAACCAUUCAUGACUGAUAAAAUGCUUCUAAUCAUGUUAAGAAUGGAUAAAUGUGAAGGGAUUAUUCACUGAGUGUGGUUUUGUUUUACAGGUAAAGCUUCUUUGCAACCAUGUAUUAAAAAAAAAAGAACAAAAGCUGUAAUUCUUGUAUUUGGAAACUAUUCUUCUUAAUUUUGCAUUGCAUCCCAAUAAUUCAUUGC